rnacentral:rRNA from 1 species
UCAAAGAUUAAGCCAUGCAUGUUUAAGUAUAAGCAAUUUGUACUGUGAAACUGCGAAUGGCUCAUUAAAUCAGUUAUCGUUUAUUUGAUAGUACCUUACUACAUGGAUACCUGUGGUAAUUCUAGAGCUAAUACAUGCUAAAAACCUCGACUUCGGAAGGGGUGUAUUUAUUAGAUAAAAAACCAACGCCCUUCGGGGCUCCUUGGUGAAUCAUAAUAACUAAGCGAAUCGCAUGGCCUUGCGCCG